CUACGGGCGGCACCAGUGGGGAAUAUUGCACAAUGGAGGAAACUCUGAUGCAGCAACGCCGCGUGGAGGAUGACACUUUUCGGAGCGUAAACUCCUUUUAUAUAGGAAGAAGAUGACGGUACUAUAUGAAUAAGCGCCGGCUAACUCCGUGCCAGCAGCCGCGGUAAUACGGAGGGCGCAAGCGUUACUCGGAAUCACUGGGCGUAAAGAGCGUGUAGGCGGAUUAAAAAGUCAGAAGUGAAAUCCUAUAGCUUAACUAUAGAACUGCUUCUGAAACUCUUAAUCUAGAAUGUGGGAGAGGUAGAUGGAAUUUCUGGUGUAGGGGUAAAAUCCGUAGAGAUCAGAAGGAAUACCGAUUGCGAAGGCGAUCUACUAGAACAUUAUUGACGCUGAGACGCGAAAGCGUGGGGAGCAAACAGGAUUAGAUACCCCCGUAGUC
rnacentral:rRNA from 1 species